ACAAUGUUUCUGAAAUUUGCGUGGUCUACAUUUUGAGCUGCUUUUGUGCUGAAAUUGUAUCUUUGUGUGGAAGUCAGAGGCACAGAUGAUUUAUCCUCCCAGGGAGCAAAGGUCAAGGUUUAUGUGCUGAACUCUUUUGUUAAGAGGCAGCGAUUCCAUCUUAACGAGGAUUCAUCCUGAAAAAGGACUUGAAAAAGAUGAAGGAGGGAAUCAUCUGUUUACAUUUCACAGCCUUUUUAUUCUUGAAUGUUUAUUGUUUGUCAUUUGCAGGAAAAUUGUACCUGGUCAAAAUGUCUUUUACGGAUUACUUUGCAUUAUAGUGACAAAAGGAGACUGCGCGAGAGAGCUUUGAUUGCAAAUCUGCAGAAUAUGAGGAGUCACAUCUGACUGUUUGUGUUGAUUUGUUUGUGUUUGGGCACAAGCUGUGUGUGCAUGCAUGUGUUGUAUGUGUGCGAGUGUGUGUUGGUGGAGCUGAAUGGAUGCUUUGGGCUUUUCUUCAUGAAGGAGGGGUGUGUUGGAACGUUGAAUUUGGUCAUGCAGCUGACGCUUUACCCCCUAACACACUCCAAACAGAGCGGACAGAUGGCCGGCCCUCAGGAAGGGCUCGGGGCGUUGGAUUUGCUCUCAGACCGUGGGAAAGUCUUUGGCUGACUUCACCUGCUCAGGGAGCUGAUGUGACCGGACUGAACAGCAAAGAAAGAGGCAAGAAAAGAAAACUAACGUGGACGUCGUCGGUGUGUGAGGGCCAGAAUUUGACCGUCUCUUACUCUAGAAAGAAAAAGAAAAGCAAAGGAGGACCGAUUAAAAAGAUUUACUACUGAUUUUUUUUUUUUUCAUAAAAGGAAAACAUGCCUUGUAAAAUAUGAUUUUUUCAGUGUGUGCUCAGGGAGUCAGGGUGGAUGGGUUCAUUCGAUCUUUCGCAUGUGUCUUUGUAAGCCUAAUUGGAAACAGUUGAUCCUCAGUUUGUGGGACAUUAGACAUGAUGUUUGGCCAUCUCUCUCUCUGCUUUUGAUUAUCUCUCAGUCUCAUGGAGACGGCCAUGUGCAGGCUUUGAUUUAUUGUUAUUAAAAGAAUAGGGCCGUUUGUCAGGCUUUCAUCUGAUUGAUGCUAAGAUGUGUGCACACUUCUAAUUCAUACUCAUAAGAAACCACGAGGCCGUGCGUCUAAUAGGUCAUUAAUUAUCCGUGUGAACGUGCAAUAAAGUUGGAUGAAUUAGUGGCGCUGAAACAUUUGGUUUUGUUCAUUUCAUGUCGGCUGUGGAUGUUGGAAUUUAUGAAGAUGCCACUUAAGUGUGCGCUGACAAGUGUGAAAGUCCAUUUUAUGACAUACAAAUGAAUAAAAAAA